rnacentral:lncRNA from 10 species
CACAGACAGACAGCGGCUGCCAGCAGUCACCUGCUCCAGCCCCCUGCCUCGGCAUCACUCGGGCAUCGCACAGUGAGCACAAGGUAGGGACUCCCCAAGCCCCUGGGGUUGCCCCUGGUAGCGCUCUCUGGAAACCUUUCCAAAGGGAGUCUGAACUCAUCAUCCCUCCUUUCUUCCCCAGCCCCUCCUCUUGUCCCCGCCUGGGACAUCCCGUGGUCUUCUGCUUCCGGUCACUCAGGGUGAGGGGUUGCAGCUUCCGCUUCUCUCUCUUGACCCGAUCGUGCCUGGAGGAAGAAGCCGAGGCCGGGGGGGUUAAGUAUCCGGGUUUAAGUCUCCUUAGGCGAGGAAGGCUUCACUUUCCAGCGGAUCCAGAUAUCCUGAGUCUCCCGGAAACUGCAGGAGGGGACAGGACUCGACUUCGAGACUGUAGGGUGGGGUGAGGGGAUGAGGUUCUCCUGACCUGGCUAAGCUCCAUGGAGGGAACCCUGGCCAUGAGCGAUCCAAGUACUGCUCUUGUUUCCCAGAGGCCUGUGGAUGACUCUCAUCUGGCAGUGGACCUCAGAUGGGGCUCAGCAGUGAAAGAGGGGAAGACAAAAAUCUGGCGAGCGAGCUGCCCGGGCCGAGACUGGCCACUUCAAACAGCCCUUCAAACAAAAGGAGACGACGAAAAGAAAGCCCCACCUGUCUCCAGUGUUUGCUAAAAUAAUAAUAAAUAGAUUUCGUUUAAUAAAUAAUUACAAGAGAUUGUAAAGUGGAGUGCUUUGGAAAACAUCUACCGCGGGAGUCCGUGCAGCCAGCCGUCACCUGCUCCUAAGGCGAACAACUUUAUUGUUAAGCCACCCCCAACUAGUUCGCCUCUGAUAAACUCUCCCUCAUUUUCACAAUGACUGUUUACUCAUAGUUAGCACAAUAUUACCUUUGCCGUGAUAAACCCGGAGGGGGGAGACCUGGCCCCUGGCCCCUGGGCACACCUGUCCCAGAAGCUGACACAUGGAUUUGGCACAGAGCAGGCCUCCCCCCGGGGGCCCUGCCCCCGUGUACAUUGGCCCAAUUGCCACUCAUUUAUAACAGGUUGGCUGCAAGGCCUAUCUCGGUCCUAUUUGUCUUCUUUUAUUGAAAGCAUAUGGUCUCCAGGGGCUCACCAGACCCAUAUUUCAUCUGCCAGGAGCUGGAGCGCUUCCGCAGUCUGGUGCUGCUCAGCGCGCAGCUCCCCACCCAACGGCUGCUGCGCCAGCUGAGGGGAUGGUGGAGGCAGGGUGGGGAGAGAUAAGGCGCACUCCUCACCCACUUUCGGAGAGAAGCCGUUCCCUCAGAGACUCCCCCUCCCCAGGCCCAGGGACCUCGUGCGCUCUUGAAAGGGUGGCCGGUUCUUUUUCUUGGGUAGGUGACAGGGCGCCAUAUGCCACCCCCCAGGGCGCACGAGGGAGCUCUGGCCCAGGGAGUCUUUGAACAAAGGGAAGAGAGGGCCCGGGCACUCAGGAAAGCCCGAGGUCUUUAUUUCCAGAUCCCCCCUCCCUGCUCAGGGCCGCCUCCCCUAGGCGUCCGCAGCUCGCGCGCGGCGCCUGGAAACAAAGUGUCCACACUAUCCCC